rnacentral:rRNA from 1 species
UACGUAGGGUGCGAGCGUUACCCGCUUUUAUUGGGCCUAAAGCGUCCGUAGCCGGUCUGAUAAGUCUCUGGUGAAAUCCCACAGCUUAACUGUGGGAAUUGCUGGAGAUACUAUCAUGACUCGAGGUCGGGAGAGGCUGGAGGUACUCCCAGGGUAGGGGUGAAAUCCUGUAAUCCUGGGAGGACCACCUGUGGCGAAGGCGUCCAGCUGGAACGAACCUGACGGUGAGGGACGAAAGCCAGGGG